UACGGGGGGGGCAAGCGUUGUUCGGAAUUACUGGGCGUAAAGGGCUCGUAGGCGGCCAACUAAGUCAGACGUGAAAUCCCUCGGCUUAACCGGGGAACUGCGUCUGAUACUGGAUGGCUUGAGGUUGGGAGAGGGAUGCGGAAUUCCAGGUGUAGCGGUGAAAUGCGUAGAUAUCUGGAGGAGAACCGGUGGCGAAGGCGGCAUCCUGGACCAAUACUGACGCUGAGUGAGCGAAAGCCAGGGGAGCAAACGGG
rnacentral:rRNA from 1 species